AGGAUACAGUCAGUAUACGAGC
rnacentral:miRNA from 1 species